rnacentral:tmRNA from 1 species
GGGGCUGUUCCUGGAUUUGACAGGGUGGCGCUGAAUAUGUAAGCAUGCAGUGCGUUGUACGGUGAGCACUUUAAAGAGAACGUUCAAAACAAUAAUUGGCGAAAAUACUUACGCCUUAGCUGCCUAGUUUAGAACUUCGUAAGCUUUUGUCUCGCUAACUGCCGCAUAGUUAGGUUAGCAUCAGAGGCAUCAUAAUAACCAUGCUAGCUUUUGUAGAGGUACGAUGCAAUUGCGAAACAAAGUAUCUAAGGAUGUUGUCAAGGUCGGUUUCCAGCCCGACGCAUCACGAAAAACAAUUGGAAAAUAAGCACGUAGAAAGCAUAAUUUAUCACACAACUGGACAAGGGUUCGACUCCCUUCAGCUCCACAA